CUCUUCUAACCUACAAAUAGUCUACAAAUUGAGGUUCGACAGCUGUUCAGCCUAUAUUAUUACGCAUGCCACUAGAUCGCACUAGUUCGAAUUGGAUUGCAAAUUGGACGUCAUGUCCAGCGAGGGCUGAGAUAUGAGCUCUGGUCCACAGCAGCAAUAAGUCUCCUUUCUCCCACAGAGGGGCCCAUGGUAUUGAUACACAAUGACAGCCAACAGGAGCAGAGUAAACUCCAUACAAACUGAAUUGAGUGACAACAGCUCCACUUCAUUUGUAAUAAAAUGUUUCCUCAAUGGAUAAUCAA